rnacentral:rRNA from 1 species
CAGUAGCCGCGGUAAUACGAAGGGGGCUAGCGUUGUUCGGAUUUACUGGGCGUAAAGGGUGCGUAGGCGGACUGAUAAGUCAGGGGUGAAAUCCCAAGGCUCAACCUUGGAACUGCCUUUGAUACUGUUAGUCUUGAGUUCGAGAGAGGUGAGUGGAACUGCGAGUGUAGAGGUGAAAUUCGUAGAUAUUCGCAAGAACACCAGUGGCGAAGGCGGCUCACUGGCUCGAAACUGACGCUGAGGCACGAAAGCGUGGGGAGCAAACAGGAUUAGAUACCCGUGUAGUCCCUGUCUCUUAUAC